rnacentral:rRNA from 1 species
CAGUAGCCGCGGGAAUACGAAGGGUGCAAGCGUUAAUCGGAAUUACUGGGCGUAAAGGGUGCGUAGGCGGUUAGUUAAGUCUGUCGUGAAAUCCCCGGGCUCAACCUGGGAAUGGCGAUGGAUACUGGUUGGCUAGAGUGUGUCAGAGGAUGGUGGAAUUUCCGGUGUAGCGGUGAAAUGCGUAGAUAUCGGAAGGAACACCUGUGGCGAAAGCGGCUCACUGGACCAUAACUGACGCUGAGGCGCGAAAGCUAGGGGAGCAAACAGGAUUAGAUACCCGAGUAGUCCCUGUCUCUUAUAA